AGUGAACGCUGGCGGUAGGCCUAACACAUGCAGGUCGAACGGCAGCACAGUAAGAGCUUGCUCUUACGGGUGGCGAGUGGCGGACGGGUGAGGAAUACAUCGGAAUCUACUUUUUCGUGGGGGAUAACGUAGGGAAACUUACGCUAAUACCGCAUACGACCUACGGGUGAAAGCAGGGGAUCUUCGGACCUUGCGCGAUUGAAUGAGCCGAUGUCGGAUUAGCUAGUUGGCGGGGUAAAGGCCCACCAAGGCGACGAUCCGUAGCUGGUCUGAGAGGAUGAUCAGCCACACUGGAACUGAGACACGGUCCAGACCCCUACGGGAGGCAGCAGUGGGGAAUAUUGGACAAUGGGCGCAAGCCUGAUCCAGCCAUACCGCGUGGGUGAAGAAGGCCUUCGGGUUGUAAAGCCCUUUUGUUGGGAAAGAAAAGCAGCAGGUUAAUACCCCGCUGUUCUGACGGUACCCAAAGAAUAAGCACCGGCUAACUUCGUG
rnacentral:rRNA from 1 species